AUGAAGGCCUCGUUGAAGCUCCAGGACAACAUGGGUCGUUGCCCCAUGCGAAGCUCCCCAUCGCCUUGCUCACCGUUGCACACACGGCCGACCUCCACAUUGUCCUUCGCCAUGUUCGUUCUUGCGCUCCCAUCCCUCCGCCUAUGCUCCACAUGGAACCAUCCUGCAGGCUCCUCUCUGCUCUUUGUCUCGCUCGUUCUCAGGUACGGCGCUGGCGAAGGCCCCUCCGUGCAUGAUGCUUCGACCAUCACCAUGAUCGUCAAGCAGCGAGUGCCAUCUCCUUCUCACUGGCCCUCAAGCCUUCGCUCCGUGGGCAAGGUCACGAUGGAGAGGCGGGCGGUGAAGCCAGCGUCCGACGUUGCACGGGGAACGACAGAGAAGGUGAGUAGAGAGAACGAGAAGCUAAGGAAGGAGGUGGCGGAGCUCUAG
rnacentral:rRNA from 1 species